UCUUGGCUGUGGCAUCGAUGAAGAACGCAGCGAAAUGCGAUAACUAAUGUGAAUUGCAGAAUUCAGUGAAUCAUCGAGUCUUUGAACGCACAUUGCGCCCGCUGGUAUUCCGGCGGGCAUGCCUGUCCGAGCGUCAUUUCGUCCCUCAAGCCCCCG
rnacentral:rRNA from 15 species